rnacentral:rRNA from 1 species
AGUCAAGUAAUUAAGUGCAUGUGGUGGAUGCCUUGGCAGUCAGAGGCGAUGAAAGACGUGAUAGCCUGCGAAAAGCUCCGGGGAGGCGGCAAAUAUCCUUUGAUCCGGAGAUGUCUGAAUGGGGGAACCCACCUACUUUAAGGUAGGUAUUGCAACAUGAAUACAUAGUGUUGCAAGGCGAACGAGGGGAAGUGAAACAUCUCAGUACCCUUAGGAAAAGAAAUCAAUUGAGAUUCCCUCAGUAGCGGCGAGCGAACGGGGAUCAGCCCAUUAAGUUAUGUGUGUUUUAGUGGAACGCUCUGGGAAGUGCGAACGUAGAGGGUGAUAUUCCCGUACACGAAAGGGCACACAUAAUGAUGACGAGUAGGGCGAGGCACGUGAAACCUUGUCUGAAUAUGGGGGGACCAUCCUCCAAGGCUAAAUACUCCUGACUGACCGAUAGUGAACCAGUACCGUGAGGGAAAGGCGAAAAGAACCCCUGUGAGGGGAGUGAAAUAGAUCCUGAAACCGCAUGCAUACAAGCAGUGGGAGCACCUUCGUGGUGUGACUGCGUACCUUUUGUAUAAUGGGUCAGCGACUUAUAUUCAGUAGCAAGGUUAACCGUAUAGGGGAGCCGUAGAGAAAUCGAGUCUUAAUAGGGCGUUUAGUUGCUGGGUAUAGACCCGAAACCAGGCGAUCUAUCCAUGAGCAGGUUGAAGG